rnacentral:rRNA from 1 species
GAUGAACGCUGGCGGCGUGCCUAAUACAUGCAAGUCGAGCGAACAGAUGAGGAGCUUGCUCCUCUGACGUUAGCGGCGGACGGGUGAGUAACACGUGGAUAACCUACCUAUAAGACUGGGAUAACUUCGGGAAACCGGAGCUAAUACCGGAUAAUAUAUUGAACCGCAUGGUUCAAUAGUGAAAGACGGUUUUGCUGUCACUUAUAGAUGGAUCCGCGCCGCAUUAGCUAGUUGGUAAGGUAACGGCUUACCAAGGCGACGAUGCGUAGCCGACCUGAGAGAGUGAUCGGCCACACUAGAACUGAGACACGGUCCAGACUCCUACGGGAGGCAGCAGUAGGGAAUCUUCCGCAAUGGGCGAAAGCCUGACGGAGCAACGCCGCGUGAGUGAUGAAGGUCUUCGGAUCGUAAAACUCUGUUAUUAGGGAAGAACAAAUGUGUAAGUAACUAUGCACGUCUUGACGGUACCUAAUCAGAAAGCCACGGCUAACUACGUG